UNNGNNGNNCAUGGCCUCNGACGAACGCUGGCGGCGUGCCUAACACAUGCAAGUCGAGCGAUGAAGUUCCUUCGGGAAUGAAUUAGCGGCGGACGGGUGAGUAACACGUGGGCAACCUGCCUCAAAGUGGGGGAUAGCCUCCCGAAAGGGAGAUUAAUACCGCAUAACAUUAUUUCUUUGCAUGAAGAGAUAAUCAAAGGAGCAAUCCGCUUUGAGAUGGGCCCGCGGCGCAUUAGCUAGUUGGUGAGGUAACGGCUCACCAAGGCGACGAUGCGUAGCCGACCUGAGAGGGUGAUCGGCCACAUUGGGACUGAGACACGGCCCAGACUCCUACGGGAGGCAGCAGUGGGGAAUAUUGCACAAUGGGGGAAACCCUGAUGCAGCAACGCCCGCGUGAGUGAUGACGGCCUUCGGGUUGGAAAGCUCUGUCCUCCAGGGACGAAUAAUGACGGUACCCUGAGGAGGAAGCCCCCGGCUAAACUACCUGCCCACAGCCGCGGGAAUACGUAGGGUGGGCGAGGCGUUUUUCCGGAAUUACUGGGCCGUAAAAGGAUGCCUAAGGUGGGAAUUUUUAAUGGGGAUGGGGAAAUACCCCGGGUUCACCCGGGAACCGCAUUUCCCAAAUGGAAUUUCUUAAAUGGCAGGAAAGGAAAACGGAAAUUUCUUAUGGAGCGGUGAAAUGGGUUAAAAAUUAAGAAAAAAACCCGUGGGGAAAGGGGGUUUUCUUGGACUGUNACUGAAACUGAAGCAUGAAAGCGUGGGGGAGCAAACAAGAAUAAAAUCCCCCGGGAGUCCCCGCCCCAAACGAAGGGGGCUAAGGGGAGGGGGUUUGAAACCUCCUCGGGCCCCCCAAAACCAAAAAAGUACCCCCCCCCUGGGGAGGACGGUCGCCAGAAUAAAAACCAAAGNAACUGGACUNGNGNCCCGCACCACGAGACGAACACUNUGGU
rnacentral:rRNA from 1 species